UUAAUUUUCUUCAAGUAAUUUAAGGGCAUCAAAUUUAUGCUAGACCCAGAGUCAAUCAUUGCUCUUCCUAUAUCCACAUUAUUUAUCACGCAUGGAAGAGUUAACAAUCCUGGAUCCUUCAUCUUAGGUGGAUGAUGUUCCUUUCUUGGUUGCACAAACACCUCCUGUUCUUCUUCUUCUGUUUCUAAAUUUAUCACCUCUCCAAGGUAAUAAUUAAUUUUCUUAGAAUAAACAGGAAUUUGAGGAUGACUUUCUUCUAAAGGAACCAUAGUCACAUGUCUAAAUAUUUCUCUCAUCUGCCCAUUGUGACUAUCCCUUCUUUUCUCAACUUCUUCUAAUCCCUCUUCUUCUUUCUCUUCUUCACCAAACUCAUCAUUCUCACUUACCUCUUCUUCAUCACUGCUAAUCUCAAUCACUUCUUCCUCUACUUUUCUUUUCUCCCUUAC
rnacentral:lncRNA from 1 species